CCACUCCUAGUCCACACCACUACCAAUCCCUGUUGGCUUACUAUAUUCAAUAUAUGCAGAUACAGGGGAAGAUACAGAUAUUUUGAAUUUAGCUUCUAUACAUAUUACAUAUACCCUGUAAAAGAAGUUAUAUAGUAGUAGUAAUUAAUUCAACCUGAUAAUCAUACAUUUGAAUAUAGUAAGCCAACGGGGAUUUGAAUAUAGUAAGCGAACCUGAUAAUCGUACAUUUGUAACUUAAGUUAAAUUUAUUUUAUAUUAAAUGUGUCUAGGUGUGAAAAGAAGCUACUUAUUUUUUUUAAUGCAUGUGUGGCUUCUUCACUGUCGUCGAUAACGAGACUACUGGGGGCAGCCUGCAGUUUAUUAAUGUAAAAGGUAAAUGCCAAAUAUAACUUUCAAAUUGAGACAAGUGAGUUCAUUCUGCAUCAAAUUAUGUGUUACCUACUACCAGUGUCGCAUAAGUAAAUAGAAAUGAGGUAAAACUUAAGCCUGUCGCAAUAGCUGGAUUAACCAAACUCAGCAAACUUUCAGCAUUAAACCAAUAGUUUUGUAGUCAUGUAAUUACCAAAGCUAUAGCCUAGUGGAAGCAAUGGAUUGGAGCCCAUCCACGUAUUGGUUCCACAAUAUAUGAAAAAUGAAAUUGAAUCAAAUCAUUUCCGAUCAAUAAGUGUUAGUUCCAUACCUCAAAGAAGCAUUCUUUUUAAUGACCACCUAAAAUUUUCCUUCCAAUUACAAAAUGAUAUAUUCUUCAGUGGCUCAU
rnacentral:lncRNA from 1 species